UACGUAGGGUGCAAGCGUUGUCCGGAAUUAUUGGGCGUAAAGAGCUCGUGGGCGGUUUGUCGCGUCUGCUGUGAAAACCCGAGGCUCAACCUCGGGCCUGCAGUGGGUACGGGCAGACUAGAGUGCGGUAGGGGAGAUUGGAAUUCCUGGUGUAGCGGUGGAAUGCGCAGAUAUCAGGAGGAACACCGGUGGCGAAGGCGGCUUUCUGGACAGAAACUGACGCUGAGGCGCGAAAGCGUGGGUAGCAAACAGG
rnacentral:rRNA from 1 species